GGUUCCAUAGUGUAGUGGUUAGCACAUUUGCUUUACACGCAGAAGGUCCUGGGUUUGCGCCCUAGUGGAGGCA
rfam:Pteropus alecto contig24663, whole genome shotgun sequence.